rnacentral:rRNA from 1 species
GAGUUUGAUCCUGGCUCAGAACUAACGCUGGCGGCGCGUCUUAAACAUGCAAGUCGAACGGUAGUCCUUGAGCUUGCUUAGGGAUGAGAGUGGCGAACGGGUGAGUAACACGUGGAUAAUCUGCCUCCGGGUUGGGGAUAACUGUCCGAAAGGGCGGCUAAUACCGAAUGAGAUGGUGGUUGCACAAGCAGCAGCCAUUAAAGGUGGGGACCGCAAGGCCUACCGCCUGGAGAUGAGUCCGCGGCUGAUUAGCUUGUUGGUGGGGUAACGGCCUACCAAGGCGACGAUCAGUAGCCGGCCUGAGAGGGUGAACGGCCACAUUGGGACUGAGAUACGGCCCAGACUCCUACGGGAGGCAGCAGUUAAGAGUCUUGCACAAUGGGCGCAAGCCUGAUGCAGCGACGCCGCGUGAAUGAUGAAGGCUUUCGGGUUGUAAAGUUCAGUAAGCAGGGAAGAAUAAGCGCCGGGUAAUAUUCGGCGUGAUGACGGUACUUGCCUAAAGCCCCGGCUAACUACGUGCCAGCAGCCGCGGUAAUACGUAUGGGGCGGGCGUUGUUCGGAAUUAUUGGGCGUAAAGGGCGUCUAGGCGGGAAAUUAAGUUAGGUGUGAAAGCUAUGGGCUCAACCCAUAAACUGCAUCUAAAACUGAUUUUCUUGAGUUCGGGAGAGGAGAGCGGAAUUCCAGGUGUAGCGGUGAAAUGCGUAGAUAUCUGGAAGAACACCAGUGGCGAAGGCGGCUCUCUGGCCUAGAACUGACGCUGAAGCGCGAAAGCGUGGGGAGCGAACAGGAUUAGAUACCCCGGUAGUCCACGCUGUAAACGUUGUAUACUAGGUGUUAGUGGCUUGUCCACUAGUGCCGCAGCAAACGCAUUAAGUAUACCGCCUGGGGGAGUACGCCCGCAAGGGUGAAACUCAAAGAAAUUGACGGGGGCCCGCACAAGCGGUG